rnacentral:lncRNA from 1 species
GACCUCACUUUGGAAACACUGACAGAGAGCUUUCAGAGAUGCAGUGACUCUGCCAGAUGCUUCAGUGUCUCCCAGGAGGCAGGUUUUGCAGUGCAUGGAGAGGAACCAGCUGGCAGAGAAAGCUCUUCUGCUAGAGAUAAAACAGAAUCCCAAUGGGAAAGAUCCCCGAAGCCCCACUUCCUGCAGCAGCCCAGAACUGAGCUGAGCAGAGCCAGGCAAGAGUAACUGUGACCGUGAUGAAGAGGAGGAGAGGCCACAAAAACACGAGGCCAGUGUGGAGCUGAACAGCCCUUGUGUCCUAGCUCCGACAGUAUCAUAGGGUGAAUGUGAGAGGGUGACCACCCUACAACCCAGGGAAAUGGGUUCUUGUUCUAGCCUGGUGUUGGAGAAUCACUCUCUGCAUCUGAUGUUUACAAAGAAGAUAAAUUCCUCUUCAGGCCUGACACCAGCCAUCCACCUCCAGCAGCAAGGGAACCAGGAAAUCUCAUGGCCAGCCUGGCCAGCAAGCGAGUGGAAUAUGCAAAGGAGAUGACUCACAGCAGACCAGCACGGUCGGCCAUGAAGCAGAGGCCAAAUUGCCAUCUGUUUCAUCAAGUUCGUUGGUGGUUGCCGUAUUUAUGUCUGUGAUUUAUGUCUAGGUGUCACCAUGAGCCUUGGCAGAUUUGGGAGACUAUUAAAUGUAUGAUUUGUCGAUAGCUAUC